UGCCCCAUGGCUGAGUUGGUUACAGCGUCCGACUGUUAUACACUGAUACUAGCUGCCUGCUAGCUGCAAUCGGAAGGUCGAGAGUUCGAGCCUCUCUGGGGCAG